UACUCAGAGAGAUUGGGAUAAACUAGGAGCC
rnacentral:piRNA from 1 species